rnacentral:rRNA from 1 species
UACGUAGGGUGCAAGCGUUAAUCGGAAUUACUGGGCGUAAAGCGUGCGCAGGCGGAUAUAUAAGUUAGAUGUGAAAUCCCUGAGCUUAACUUGGGAAUUGCAUUUAAGACUGUAUGUCUAGAGUUUGUCAGAGGGGGGUAGAAUUCCAAGUGUAGCAGUGAAAUGCGUAGAGAUUUGGAGGAAUACCAGUGGCGAAGGCGGCCCCCUGGGAUAGAACUGACGCUCAGGCACGAAAGCGUGGGUAGCAAACAGG